GCUGUUAGCAUGUAGCUCAGUUCGCUGUGGUGAUAAGUGGCCUUAUAAGCUGACACUAAUCCACCUGGAUACAGCCGGACACCAGACUCGGACUGACCACAGCCUCUGACAGAUCCCGUGAGGGACAAAGUAUGGAGGCGAGAGGGAAGAUGAGUGGUGUGCGUAUGCCGCAGUAGGAGGCGACUGAAAUACAACCUGAAGGAAAUUCAAGGGACGUGUGCUGCAUGCGGAGCUGCACCUGUCUCAGUCUCACAUCAGCAAAACAAAUGACCACAUCUGAGCCAAGCUGACCUCUACUGUGGAAAAUAAUGACUUCAGAAUACAUGUCCCUAAAGAGUUUUAUGAAAAAUAUUAUUAUCCUGGCACAGAUCGGGCUGUAACCAUAGCGAUUUCACCACCACCGUCGCUGUCGUCACCCGAGCUGCUGCUGCUCCCGCUGGCCCUCUGAUCUGCAUUCUUAGUCGACUGAGGAAUCUUUACUGGUGACUGCUCGGCGGAGUCGCUGGCUGCGAAUCGCCUGCUUUUCCUGUUGCUCCAUGCGGAAGAAUGAGUCAAUCCGCAGCUGAGUCUAACCCAAAACAGAGAGAGACAUGGUGUAAAUGUUGUUAGACUAUGAAGUGGUUUUAUUUCCUCCAUUGCUGUUUUUUUAAAAAAGAUUCACAAUCAGACUGGAGAAAUUAAAGAAAGAUGGGAGUAUGAGUAAAAAAAAAA